GUGGCGGUCAACGGCUCGAGGAGUUUCCUCGGACCCAAUUCGAAGAGGUGGCAGCCAGAAAACUCAAUUGCCAUGAGGUUUUUCAUCCCUGACCUCACCACCAUUAGAAGACAUAGAAAGGAAAAAGUUAUUAGAAAAACUAGAGAAACGAGAAGGAGAAGAGUGAACCAAGAAAAAGAGGAAGAACCCAACUAGAAGC
rnacentral:lncRNA from 1 species